CACGCAGCACGCACAUCACACCCACGUCGAAAGGAAGAUUCCCGUAUAUCACCUGAGGCUUGGACACGGUGGCGCCUUCUCCAGAAGGAGCCGUGGAACACUUCGUGAGCUCAACUCGGCCACGGACGAACACAGAAACGUGAAGGGAUCAGGCUCUCGGAAGCAGGCGCAUCUGCGGCCAUGCAGCGAUGGCCGUGCAGACGGUGUUGUCGCGCGGCAACGUUAGGCUCGCGCACCUUUGUGCUUGUGCGCCGUCGUGUGCCGAGCGAAUGCAUCGCCUCUUCCUCCCACGCGUCUUCCAGCGCAGCGCCGCCGCGGACAGUGGCGCAUCAGCGUUCUUGUAUUAUCAUUCCGCCGGUGGAAAGGCUGACGACGCCACCGAGUCCGCGACUGUCGCGCCGCUAUGUUGACUCGCAGACUCUGGACGACGGUAGAACGCAGCAGGCGAAUGCACAGGAGCCUGAUCAUUUUCGGUUUGCCAUCAAGAACAGCGAGAGGGGACUGCUCGACCACGGCGUCACCCCCGACGCGAUCGCCUUCAUCGCUGAGGCCGAAGAGGAGUACCGGGCAAGCUCGUCCUACCUGCACGACCGGCCCGGUGGCGCUGGCAUGCCUGAGUCGGAGACGCACGUGAAUGAAGUGACGGGCCAGCAGGUUACCACGACCCGGAUUGCGGCGCCGUUCGGGGAGACCUACGUACCCUCCAAUCGAGAGCGGUUUGCGGAGCGGCAGCGCGUGGGCGAGUUGAGUCGGCAGCGCGACCUCGUCGACAAGCCAUUUAUGCUGGACGAGCACGCACAGCUGAACCUGCGAAAGGAGCGUCAGCUGUGCGAGCUGCUAGCCUCUCCUAUGCCCCAGCUUGCGAAAGCGGACGAGGUGGCGCAUUUCCUGCUUAAUGGUGUCUACGCACAGAGCCUGGCACUGCAGCCACGGACGUGUGAGUCGGUAAUGUUGCUCUACUCUCACGCGAGUUUUCUCCGUCGGCUGGAGGGGCCAACGAAGCAGCUGACGGGCCGCGCGCACGACGCAGCCCGGCUGGCAGCCCCGUCUGGCGGGGCAGACAUCCCUGCAGUGCCGCGGACGCCGCAGGAUGUACCGUUUCUGGAUGACAUGCGGCGCCUGUACACCCAUCAGAAGCGCUGCUUUAUCAGUCCGACACCCCUUUCACUGGAGCAUCUCAUGACAACACUCAGCGUCAUUACGGCACCGAGCACGACCGCAUUCCAUCUCGCCAACCGACUUCUCCUCGAUGCGGACAAGUUUGUUCUGCUGCCGACACGCACGACGUACACGGCAUACUUUACCGUAUGCCACGUGAACAACGCGAUGCAGUUCGCGAUGGCGCGUUACACAGACGCCGUGCAAGCGCUGCAGCUUCCCGUCGACGCGCCGAUGCUGACAGCGCUGCUUAAGGGCUUGAACGAGAGCGGCUACGUAGAGGAGGCGGUUUCGCUGCUGUCGCGAAUGGGGCACGUUGCGGUGUCCACGCCGCUCCUGAAUGCGUCGCUGGAGACGCUGCUGCUCUCGGAGCAGGCGCUCGCUUGCUUCUCCCUCUACGAUGCCAUGCGUGGGUCCUCGGUGAAGCCGAACGCAGAGACGUACACGCUGCUUUUGCUCGCUUGCGAGAAGUCGCAGCAGUGGCGCCGUGUGACGGCAAUUCUCGCUGAGAUGCAACGCCGCCGUGUGCGUGGUAAUGAACAGACGCUAAACCUGCUGCUAAAGGGUCUGUUGCAGGAGCGACUGCACAGUUUUGCCGCCCAGCUAUAUCACACGAUGCUGGCGAAGAAGGUGCCCUUGUGGCCAGCGCUGGAGCUCGGCGUGCGGCCGCUGCUGCGGUAAACUGAAGCGAGCGAGCGUUGCCUGCACCUGUGAGGUGAAUCAGGAGGUACCUCUCGUCUCGGCUCGGCUCUCCCGCCCUCCUCCUGCAUCGCUUCUGUUUCUCUUGCGCUCCCCCCCGCGCAUGCACCGGUACGCUCACAUGACACUAAAAGAAUUACGAGUUAUCGAAGCUUCUGCGCCCGAGCGCCUCUUAUACGUGCGCCUGCUUGUGUGGAAGUUAGCAUGCUGCGUUCUUUUUCGGGGUUAGGGGCGGAGCUAGCGGCUCUUACUCCCCCUUUGCGUUGUUUCGCGUGCUCGACGUCAAGCCGCAUGCACAAGAGCGGGUGGUGGAUGGUGGGGCGAUGUCACAAGCACCGUAUUACUCUUGCCUCUUG
rnacentral:misc_RNA from 1 species